GACGAACGCUGGCGGCGUGCCUAAUACAUGCAAGUCGAACGCAGUGGGGACGGGUGAGUAACACGUGGGUAACCUCCCAUCAGAGGGGAUAACACUUGGAAACAGGUGCUAAACCGAUACUGAUGGAUGGACCCGCGGUGCAUUAGCUAGUUGGUGAGGUAACGGCUCACCUAGGCGACGAUCCCUAGCGGGGCUGAGAGGGUGAUCAGCCACACUGGGACUGAGACACGGCCCAGACUCCUACGGGAGGCAGCAGUGGGGAAUAUUGCGCAAUGGGCGCAAGUCUGAUCCAGCCAUGCAGCGUGUAUGAAGAAGGCUUUCGGGUUGUAAAGUACUUUCAGUCGGGAGGCGUUACCUACAGAAGAAGCACCGGCUAACUCCGUGCCAGCAGCCGCGGUAAUUC
rnacentral:rRNA from 1 species